GCCCGCCUAGCUCAAUUGGCCAGAGCGUCAGACUUUUACGAAGGUUCGAACUUCCACGAGUACAUCUGAAGGCUGCGAGUUCGACCCUCGCGGUGGGCU